GAUGAAGAACGUAGUGAAAUGCGAUAAGUAAUGUGAAUUGCAGAAUUCAGUGAAUCAUCGAAUCUUUGAACGCACAUUGCGCCCGCCAGCAUUCUGGCGGGCAUGCCUGUUUGAGCGUCAUUUCAACCCUCGAGCCCCCCCGGGGGCCUCGGUGUUGGGGGACGGCACACCAGCCGCCCCCGAAAUGCAGUGGCGACCCCGCCGCAGCCUCCCCUGCGUAGUAGCACACACCUCGCACCGGAGCGCGGAGGCGGUCACGCCGUAAAACGCCCAACUUUCUUAGAGUUGACCUCGGAUCAGGUAGGAAUACCCGCUGAACUUAAGCAUAUCAAUAAGCGGAGGA
rnacentral:misc_RNA from 1 species